GAGGUUUUAAUCAGUUUUAUUAUUCCUAUCUUCAACAAGAACAACAGAAGCAACAGCAGCAGCAAUGCAAUGUCCAGAUGGUACAGAACCAGCUGCAGAAGAAUCAAAAUCAUUGCUUUGACAAUAAUAUUAUUGGUUCUUCUUCUUUGAAAACCAGUAAUUAUCACCCUUCAAUGGCUUAUUCUCAAAGCAUCGCUGCCUAUGAUGAAAAGCAAAGACAAGAGAUUGAUCACUAUAUCAGAUUACAGAAUGAGAGGUUAAGAUUCUUAUUGCAAGAACAAAGAAAGCAACAGCUAGCUUUAUUGAUGAAGAGAAUAGAAUCAAACGCACUGCCUUUAUUGAGGCAAAAGGAUGAAGAAAUAGCUCGAGCAGCUAAAAGAAUUGCAGAGCUUGAAGAUUUCACAAAAAGAUUAGAGAUGGAGAGCCAAGUCUGGCAAAGGUUAGCACAAGAAAACGAAGCCAUGGUUAUUUCUCUCAACAACACAAUAGAACAACUGAGGGAAAAAGCCUCGUGUUGCUUUGAAAACGGAGCAGAGGAUGCAGAGUCAUGCUGUGAUAUGAACAGAGAAGAAGCAGAGGAAACAGAGGUGAAAAACAGAGUAUUUGUUGAUGAUAACGUUACAGAAGAGGAAAGAGCUAGAAAAAAGAUGGUGUGCAGAGGCUGUAACUCUAGGAAUUCGUGUAUUUUGUUCCUUCCCUGUAGGCACCUUUGUUCAUGCAAAGCUUGUGAGGCUUUUCUUGAUUCUUGCCCUGUCUGUCAAACGGCAAAGAAGGCUAGCAUUGAGGCUAUAAUGGUUUAGACUUUGAUUUUCUAGGCCCCGGAAAAAAAUUUUCCGGGAAAAGUGAAAGGGAAUAGAAAAAGGGAAAGAAAGAGAAGCAAAAAUCAGACACCCAAUUCAAUGCCUUUGCAUGCAGGCACACUGGCAUUGGCAUUUGGUCAUUAAAUU
rnacentral:misc_RNA from 1 species